GACGAACGCUGGCGGCGUGCUUAACACAUGCAAGUCGAACGGUGAAGCGCCUUCCUUUUUGGUGGGUGUGGAUGAGUGGCGAACGGGUGAGUAACACGUGAGUAACCUGCCCCCUUCUUCUGGAUAACCGCAUGAAAGUGUGGCUAAUACGGGAAAUUCUGGGUCUGUCGCAUGAUGGGUCUGGGAAAGAUAUUGUUUCGGUGGGGGAUGGGCUCGCGGCCUAUCAGCUUGUUGGUGGGGUGAUGGCCUACCAAGGCGGUGACGGGUAGCCGGCCUGAGAGGGUGGACGGUCACACUGGGACUGAGACACGGCCCAGACUCCGACGGGAGGCAGCAGUGGGGAAUAUUGCACAAUGGGCGCAAGCCUGAUGCAGCGACGCCGCGUGAGGGAUGGAGGCCUUCGGGUUGUGAACCUCUUUCGCCAGUGAAGCAGGCCUGCCUCGUUUGUGGGUGGGUUGACGGUAGCUGGAGAAGAAGCGCCGGCUAACUACGUG
rnacentral:rRNA from 1 species